AUUGAACGCUGGCGGCAUGCCUUACACAUGCAAGUCGAACGGUAACGGGCCUUCGGGUGCCGACGAGUGGCGAACGGGUGAGUAAUGCAUCGGAACGUACCUUUCAGUGGGGGAUAACGUAGCGAAAGUUACGCUAAUACCGCCUAUUCUGUGAGCAGGAAAGCAGGGGAUCGCCAGACCUUGCGCUGAUUGAGCGGGCGAUGUAAGAGUAGCUGGUUGGUAAGGUAAAGGCUCACCAAGGCGACGAUCUGUAGCGGGUCUGAGAGGAUGAUCCGCCACACUGGGACUGAGACACGGCCCAGACUCCUACGGGAGGCAGCAGUGGGGAAUUUUGGACAAUGGGGGCAACCCUGAUCCAGCCAUGCCGCGUGAGUGAAGAAGGCCUUCGGGUUGUAAAGCUCUUUCGGCCGGGAAGAAAUCGCACAGGCUAAUACCUUGUGUGGAUGACGGUACCGGAAUAAGAAGCACCGGCUAACUACGUGCCAGCAGCCGCAGUAACAC
rnacentral:rRNA from 1 species